rnacentral:rRNA from 1 species
UACGGAGGGUGCAAGCGUUAUCCGGAUUCACUGGGUUUAAAGGGUGCGUAGGUGGGUAGGUAAGUCAGUGGUGAAAUCCCCGAGCUUAACUUGGGAACUGCCGUUGAUACUAUCUAUCUUGAAUAUCGUGGAGGUAAGCGGAAUAUGUCAUGUAGCGGUGAAAUGCUUAGAUAUGACAUAGAACACCCAUUGCGAAGGCAGCUUACUACACGAUCAUUGACACUGAGGCACGAAAGCGUGGGGAGCAAACAGG